AGCAAUUUUAUGAUCAAAACAUACAUUCCUACUUUUAUUUUGUUUUCAAAAUAACAUCUUUAUUUUGUUUUCAAAAUAACAUCUUUAUUUUGUUUCCAAAAUAACAUCUAUAGAUGUACUAUAAUAUCUAGAAGUGUAUAUGCAUGUAUUUCUUUUUCUCAUAUUUCUCUAUUAAAGCCCCAUUAUGAGAGGUGCCAUUAUAUAAAUGUGUUCUCUAUUUGGAACUCAGCAAAGACACCCUGGAAAGAUACAGAGGGACAGUGGAAAGAGGAACUUCUUCUUCCUGUUUUGGGGCUGUUGGUUCUCAAAGAAGUAGAAGGAAAACUAUCUAGCUCUGAGUUCGUUACAGGAACAUCAAGAUGCACGGAGAAUCCAGGAGAUGUAGACACUGACUGUAGUUGAGAAGAAGAGGGCCACACUUUGUAAACAUGGCCUCUUGAAAUUAGAAGCCAUGGUAGAAUCAUCUGGUUCAGCCCCUUCAUUUUACAUUGAAGUAACCCAGGUCUGUAGAAUUUGAGUGACUUUUUUUGAUGUAGACUGUUAGUGAGACAGGUAAGCCUAAACCUAAAAGCUCCUAAUUCGCUGCCAAAUUAUACGAUCCACCCCCACUGGGGAAGGAAGGACACACUUAGUUGAGAAGAAAGAAUCAUGCUAUUAUUUUGCUAGCUGAGGAUUUCUUCUCAGUUCAUUAUUUUUUUCCUAUCUGCUUUUCUAUUAGGGGUUGAAUUUUGUCCCUCUCCACCAAAUAUGCUAAAGUCCUAAUCCCGAGUACCUCGGAAUGUAGUCUCUUUUGGAAAUAGGGACUUUACAGAAGUAAACAAAUUAAAAUGAGGUCACUAGGGUGGGCCCUUAUCCAAGAUGACUGGUGUGUUUAUAAAAGUUAAAAUUUGGACACAGACAUGCGUAGAGGGAAGAUGAUGUGAAGAGACACAGAAAGAACACCGUGUGAAGACUGACAUGGAGAUGGAGAUUCUCCACCACAAGCCAAGAAUGUCGGGGGCUACCAGAAACUGAAAUGUGCAAGGAAAGAUCCUUUCCCAAAGGUUUCAGAGGGAGCCGGGCCCUGCCAACACCUUGGUCAUCUAGCCUCCCGAACAGUGAGCAGUUUCUGCUGUAGUAAGUCAUCUUGUUUGUCGUCAUUUUUACGGGAGCCCAAGGAAACUGAUACAAGUGCUCAAGCAGAAAAAUGAACAGAAGAAAAUGAACUGAGAAGAAAUCCUCUGAUGGCAAAAUGCUAUAAUUCAACAUUUAUGGAGUGUUUCCCAUGUGCUGUACUAUGCGGGGAACUUUACAUGAAUUAUCUCAUUUUAUCCUUAGAACUCCCUGGUUGAUAUUACUCAUGUCCCAAUUGUUAGGAAACCAAAUUAUCAACGGUUAAAAAACAUGGCCAAGGUCCUAUAACUAAUGAAAAAACUGGGAUCUGUUAUUCAGAGCACAGUCUUUUCGCUACCAUAUUUCAGCAUGCAGCUGAGGCCACACUAAGGGAGGUGAGCAAGGCUGAGAUUUGGCAUCAUACUACCUCUGGAAGAUGUCAACUGCUGCUGGUUUCAAGACGAUUUUGAUUUGGAAGGCUGUGUAAGCAAUGAAAAAAAUUGACUCUAAUUGGAUUUAGGUAAGAAUCUUCUUCCAAGGAGGUUCAAGCUCCUUUGUCUCAUUUUUCCCCCAUGAAACAUUCAAGCCAAAUAUAUAGAGGCUGCUAUGAUUAAUAUCAUGUUAUGGAUUUGUUUAAUCAGUAAGUACAAAUUGAGAGCCUACUAUGUGCUAGCCACUUUCUAGAUGAUUGGGAUACAUCAGUUAAAAACACAGAUGAUUCCGGGUGAGGCUGACGCCUGUAAUCCCAACACUUUGGGAGGCCAAGACAGGCGGAUCACCUGAGGUCAGAAAUUCGAGACCAUCCUGGCUAACAUGGUGAAAUCCUGUCUCUACUAAAAAUACAAAAAGUAACCAGGCAGGGUGGCUCACGCCUGCAAUCCCAGCUACUCAGGAGGCUGAGGCAGGAGAAUUGCUGGAACCUGAGAGGUGGAGGUUGCAGUGAGCCGAAAUCACACCACUGCACUCCAGCCUGGGCAACAGAGAGACACUGCAUCUCAAAAAAUAAAAAGAAUAAAUAAAUAAAAAAUAAAUACACAGAUGAUGAUCCCUGCCUGUGUGGAGCUUCCAUUCCAGUGAUGAGAAACUCUGACACAAUGAAGAGACUCAGAAGAUUAGAGAGUAAGAGAAUUAUGACCUUAGCACAGCAAUUCGGCUUUCUCAACUUUCCUCUUCUCCAUUGUUUUGCUUCUCCAGAAGAUAUUGCCAGAAAGUGAAUGCUUUCCAACUUGUGCAUAAUCUUCCAUUUAUUUAUGUAUAUAUUCAUUGUAACACACCUGUACUCCAGGCAGUAAAGAAAACUUUCAAUUUUGACUUAAAAGUUCUGAUCCAUUUCAUAACCAUAUGUUUAAAUCAUCUCAAAACAAGGAAGAAUUUGUCGAAAUGUAAAAGAUCACCAGAGAAGGCAAAUUUAACAAUCUGCCCAGUAAUCUGCUAUCAAAUCCAACAAUCUCAUACAUUACCCC
rnacentral:lncRNA from 10 species